UAAGACGAGCCUCACAAACGUUAUUCGGAAUUACUGGGCUUAAAGGGUGCGUAGGCGGCGCGGAAAGUUGGGUGUGAAAUCCCUCGGCUCAACCGAGGAAUUGCGCUCAAAACUACCGUGCUCGAGGGAGAUAGAGGAGCGCGGAACUUAGGGUGGAGCGGUGAAAUGCGUUGAUAUCCUAGGGAACACCGGUGGCGAAAGCGGCGCUCUGGAUCUCAUCUGACGCUGAUGCACGAAAGCUAGGGUAGCGAACGGGAUUAGAUACCCCGGUAGUCCUAGCCGUAAACGAUGAGCACUGGAUUGAAGAUCCCUCCAUAGGUUUUCAGUCGCAGAGAAAUUGUUUAGUGCUCCGCCUGGGGAGUAUGGUCGCAAGGCUG
rnacentral:rRNA from 1 species